GCUUGAGCUGAAAAACUGACCACUGUAUACUGAUGUUAAAUGUUUGGAAACGAGAAAUUCAGAGGACUGUAUAACAGCAUCAGUGUAACAGACCUCCUGUGUAUAUUUGAACCUAUUGGUCAGUGGCUGCUUAAGACCUUCCUGAUGCUGAAGGUCUGAUGUCAUGUUCCAAGUGACUUAUGCAGUCAGCAGUGCAGACUGAGGAAAUGGGAGGGUGAAUUUGGGAAGUGAAGUCGACAGGAAGAUGACACAGUGCUGAUAAAGUAAAGUAAGGCAGGCUUUGCAGUUGUGCCAAGUUCUGUAGCUUCACUGCUGAAGUGCCUGCAGGCCACCUAUG